GACGAACGCUGGCGGCGUGCUUAACACAUGCCAGUCGAACGGAAAGGCCCUGCUUUUGUGGGGUGCUCGAGUGGCGAACGGGUGAGUAACACGUGAGUAACCUGCCCUUGACUUUGGGAUAACUUCAGGAAACUGGGGCUAAUACCGGAUAGGAGCUCCUGCUGCAUGGUGGGGGUUGGAAAGUUUCGGCGGUUGGGGAUGGACUCGCGGCUUAUCAGCUUGUUGGUGGGGUAGUGGCUUACCAAGGCUUUGACGGGUAGCCGGCCUGAGAGGGUGACCGGCCACAUUGGGACUGAGAUACGGCCCAGACUCCUACGGGAGGCAGCAGUGGGGAAUAUUGCACAAUGGGCGGAAGCCUGAUGCGGCAACGCCGCGUGCGGGAUGACGGCCUUCGGGUUGUAAACCGCUUUCGCCUGUGACGAAGCGUGAGUGACGGUAAUGGGUAAAGAAGCACCGGCUAACUACGUG
rnacentral:rRNA from 1 species